CCUACGGGUGACAGCAGUAGGGAAUUUUCGUCAAUGGGCGCAAGCCUGAACGAGCAAUGCCGCGUGAACGAGGACGGUCUUCGGAUCGGAAAGUUCUGUUGAAGGGGAAAAAGAGCGGAGAGAGGAAAUGAUCUCUGAUUGAUAUUACCCUUCGAGGAAGUCACGGCUAACUACGUGCCAGCAGCCGCGGUAAUACGUAGGGGGCGGGCGUUAUCCGGAAUGAUUGGGCGUAAAGGGUGCGUAGGCGGCCUGCUAAGUCUAGAGUGAAAGGUACCGGCUCAACCGGUACAGGCUCUGGAAACUGGCGGUCUAGAGGGCAGUAGAGGGCGGUGGAACUCCAUGGGUAGCGGUAAAAUGGGUAGAUAUAUGGAAGGACACCAGUGGCGAAGGCGGCCGCGUGGCCGGUGGACUGACGCUGAGGCACGAAAGCGUGGGGAGCAAAUAGGAUUAGAUACCCUAGUAGUC
rnacentral:rRNA from 1 species